UGAUGCCAGGGUCAAAAGGUCUAAAUCCACAUGAGCUUGCUCAUAGGUGGAUGAAAGACCUUGGGACCCGCCCCGAUAUGAGCAUAAAAGUGGGAUGAUAAUCCCACGAUAUGCGAAUACUGGGGCGGAUUGUGGGAGUGCAACGCACGGAACAAUCCGUAGGCAUCA
rfam:Firmicutes bacterium CAG:56 genomic scaffold, scf734